rnacentral:lncRNA from 1 species
UCCAAGACAUUAGCAGAAAGAGAAUUAUUAACGAGUUAUGGUAAAGAUGAAAAUGGAAGUGGUGGAUUUGAGGUGGUAAGUCUGGUUCUUGGCCUAGUGGGAGGGGAGACUCCUCUCAGUUACUUACCAGGAAGUGUUGCAGUGAUUACCUCUCAGCUACAAGACAAUGAAGCCUUAUACCAAUCUUUGAAGUUCUUAGAAGAUAUAUGUGGAAAAUGUCCAAUUGUCCACAUUGAUGAUGUUUGUGAAGCCCAUAUCUUUUGCGCUGAGCUUCCAUCUAUCAAUGGCAGAUUCUUGGUUGCAAACUCAUAUGCAUCAUCAGCAGAGAUAGCAAAUUAUUAUUCUCAAAACUAUCCAGAGUUCAAUUUGAAGGAGAAGUAAGUUACUACUUUCUAUACCAAAUAUUAGACAAAAAAUUACACGAUAAAUAUAUAUGUCUGAGUUGAACUGGUCUCAGAUCUCUUAAGUGAUGUCUCGAGUUCGAAUCUUGUAAAUAAACAAAUGUGAUUAGAAGAUAAGACCUUACUAUAUGUGGUCAGACAAGUUCCACAACGGAAAUUAGUCAUAAGCAAAGUUCGUAUAUAUUUGCACUAAUAACAUGCUUAUGAAAAUAUGUCUAAAAUCUAACAAAAAUUGACAUUUGGUUGUAGGUAUUUGGAAGGGCCAAACAGGGCAAUCAAAUUGGCCUCAACAAAGCUCAUAGAUAAUGGAUUUGUCUACAAAUAUAAUCUGAAGAAGAUAUUAGAUGAUAGUAUCAGAUGUGCAAGAAGGACCGGCGAUCUUAGUAUGUCAUGAUCUAUAAGUUGUAGCAUUAUAUUAACUAAUUGAUUAAUUAUAGACUUGCACCAAAAUAGAUAACAUCGAUAAUUUAUGUACGUGUAUGUUUGUGUUUUUCAUCAUUUCACUUCAUUUAUUAAGAAAAACAAACAGAGAGUGUCUCUGCCCUUGCAGCCAUGCCCCAAUCACUUUCUAGUUUCUAAAAAAAAAUCUUCUAUCAGAAGCAUAUACCUAAGCUAAUAAUCAUGCCACAACUGUGUUUCCUAAUCUUCCCCGCUAAGCUUGAAUAUCAUAAGCGGUUGGUGCUUAUGACCAGUUGAGAUUGUUGCUUAACUUGCUAAUAGGAACGUCAUGUUAUGUUUUUUGCCCCCUUUUAUGUUGGUUAUAUCUAAUGGAAAGUACCAAACUCGUUUUAGGGGUGGUUAUCAUAGCCACCCUUGUACUUGCUAAAGUACAAUAAACAUAUAUGGGGUUUAGACUGUUUAUGAGAUGCCUUGAGAAUGAUCUCAAGGUGGUAUUUAUAGUCUGUUGUGUGCUUGUUUCAGCGUGACUUAAACCUUAAGUAAGCUGGGCUUUAGGUCUUUUACCUGAUCUCUAGAUGCUUCUAGAAACCAGCUAAGGCGGCGCCAUCUGAAGGGCGUGCCUAUGGUCCAGGGAGCAUUCUGAAGGACGUCCUGACCCUUUUGGAGGGUUCUUGGGCCCUUCUAGAGGACUCUUAGGUCUUCAUAAAUAUAUUGAAGGUCCAACCCUAAAUUAAUUUUCUCAUAAUGCCUUCAGCAGAAGGUUGAAUCUCAAUUUGCAAAUGAAUGAUUCACACAUGAGCAAAAGGAUGAUAAACCUAAGCAAGAAAUGCGCUGGCGGAAUACUUAUCAGAUAAGAACAUUGUUAGUGUUCUUAGGAGGCAAAUCUGCAGCCAAUAAUUGACCUACAGAUUUUACCAAAUGGGGAUAAUACCUUUGCUCUACAAAGUGUGCUUUGCAAGGAGAAAUGUACAUAUGAUGAUAAGCAUAUUGAUCUCUUGCUUUGGUUUCGUGGUCUUUUUGUCCUCUAUUAGGGCCGAUAAUUUAGCUAGUUUUCCUUUUCUUUUCUUCUUUUUUGCUUUUGGUUGAGUGUGGUUUGGUCCUCUCAACUCUUUUUGUUUUUCUUCUUUUCUAUUUUAAUGGUAUUAGAUUAGAUAUGUUUUUCACUUAUCAUGAUUAUCGAAAAGAAAGAAAGAAUCUAAUGAAAAGGAGCAAGUGACAAAUGAGAGGAUUAUGUUGCAUUACUAUAAAGGCUUAAUAUAUCCUAUGAUCCCUUAAUUUAUUUUAUUUUUUCAGUUUGAUCCCUUAAUUAUUAAGUGUGUCAAUUUGGUCACAUAAGUCUUUUGUCAUUUACUAUUUUAGUCAUCUCUGUUGAUUUUUAACAUUAAAUGUUUAAGGUGAACCAUAUUUAAAGGUGGUCCACCAUAUGCAUUACUAAAAAAUUUUAUUUUAACCAUUUGAUUUUUUCUUUAAAAAAUAGUUGUUAAAUCAUGUAGGGUCUAUUGCACUGAACCACUAACACCUAAGUUAAUCCAUUUAUCUUUUUCUUCCCUCAUCAUCUUCAACAACAACUUCAUCAAUAAACUCCAUAAAAUCCCAAAAAUAAUAAUUAAACCUACUAUUUAAUAACCACACAACCAUUAUCAUCUUCAUCAAUCAUCAUCAACAUCCCUCUUCCUAAAUAUUCUUCUUCAUCUUCAAAUCACAAUCUAUUAUUUUCAAACAAAAAAUUCAAAAUUAAAAACUGAAAUUAUGUUUAAAUUCAUCAAAAUUAGCCCAACAACAUAUAAUCAUUAUUAUUAGAAAUUAAAAAUAUUAUUAUAAUAUUAUUAUUAUUAUUAUUAAAAUUGUUGUUUAAUUUGAAAUUAAAAAGAAAAGAAAAGAGAGAACAGGACAGAGAAAUUAAAGAGAAAAGAAAAGAGAUUAAGACAUAACACGAUAGAGAAAGGGGGGAGAAUGUGAUUUUAGGGUUUCAACUCCAUCCUUCAUGUUCGAUUUCGACCUUCAUCCAUCAUCAAUUUGAUUUCGCAAUUCCACUCCUCUUCUCGUUUGGGUUCGCGAUUUCGACCUCCCUCCGUCACGAUUCUGCCGUCGUGUUUGUUGUGACCUGUGUUUUCUUCUAUCAAUUUCGCCAUUAAUUUCAUCAUCACUGAGUUGCGUUUUUAGAAUUCGAAAUUUCCAUUUCUUGAUUUGUCAGAAUUCAAAGUUAUUAUUUCCCACAAUAUCAUUUUUUUGCAAUAUAAUGUUUAAGGGUUUGAUUUUGGGUUCCAUAUGAAAAAAGCAUUUAGAUAAUUGAAACUGGGUUUGAGCAGCAAGAUGUUUAAGGUUUUUUUUUUCUUCAUCUUUUUCUAGGUUUGAGCAGCAGUUUUCUCUCCAUAUAUGAUGUUAAUGAAAUUUUUUUUUUUUUUUUUUAACUUUAGAAUGCAAAAAAAAUUAGUCGUUGCAUAUAACAGUAGCAUAUAUGAGAGAAAUGAAAGGGUGGAGGUGGGUGGUAAAUUUAUUUUCUUUAUUUUGAUAUAAAGUUAUUUAAGGUUUUUUUCUGGUUUUUUUUUUUUUCAUUUUUUUAUGUAUCUUGAAGAAGAUGAAGAAGAACAAAAAAGAUUAGGUGUUGAUGGGUCAGUGUUGUAUACAAUGGAUCUGCAAUCAAACGGUUGAAAUCAUAUCAAAAAACUUAAACAUUAAAAUACUAACGGAAAUGAUCGAAAUAGUAAACGACAAAAGAUUUAUGAGACCAAAUUGACACACUUAAUAGUUAAGGGACCAAACUAAAAAAAUAAAAUAAGUUAAAGGACCGGAGAAUGUAUUAAGCUUUUCUAUAAAACUUUACCUUGUCUAAUAGACACUGUAUAAUGUCUUUGCUAUAAAUACUCAAAAAAUCAUAUAUCGUAAUAAACACAUAUUCCAAACAAUCAAAAAGUUCCAUUUUUUCGUAUUUUUAUCUAUUUACCUUUAUGUCUUAUCUUUAUUUUUUAUGCAUUUUGUAGUGUAGAUCAAAAAAUCCAAAACAACUGUGAGAUAGUUCCUACCUCAGCUCAACAUCAAACACUUGAAGCAAUGAGAAUUGCAGAUGAGAAAACUCAAUCGACCGCAACUAAUUUGAGCCUCUAUUAAUAGAUAUAAUAAACUUAAGUAAUUCAAUAUUCAAAUGAUAUGAAAUGAUGUAUAAUCUUAUUUUAGAAAAAUGAUUUUAAUUACUAAUAAAAUAUUUGGUUGUUUAAAAAACUCACAACUGAUCACGUAGGAUCGGGUUUGGGCAUCAACUUUAGAGUCAACAUUUAAUUCUGGUUUUAAGUAUGGGAGCUUCUAAACAGCGACUUAGUUGAUAUAAUUAUAAGGAUGAAAACAUACAGUAGAAACUCUUUAAAUUAAUAAUGUCGGGACCGGAGAAAUUUAUUAAUUUAGAGAGUUAUUAAUUUAUCGAUAAAUUAAUAAUUAUUAAUUUAAAGAGUUUUUAAGUAAUUAUACUGUACAUACCAAACAAAAAGGCAAAUUAGUCUAUGUCUCUUAGAAUUAAGUUGCACCAAAUCUUGGGAUUCAAUGUAAAUUAAUAAAUAUUGUAUUCAUAUCCAUUGGAAAUAUGACUUUUGACUUUUGAAGUAUAUAGUAAAUGUAAACAAAUGGAAUGUUCAAUGUAUUCUUAAGCAAGUUUGGCAUAUAUAAAUUACAUGAAUGUGUUAAAAGUAUUCAAACCAUAUCUCAUUCACGAGAUGGCUUCUCAUCUAAAAGGUGUUGCAAAAUCAACUAUGUCAUAUCAAAUACGUAAGGAGUUGUGCGAGUACAAGAGAGAUAAUCCUGCAAGCACACAAAAAGACUUGCAGAGAUGGCUUGAGGGAAAAUUUCAGUUGAAAGUUAGUCAAGGAACAAUAUCAAACACACUUAAGCGGUCAAAUGACUAUCUCUCUGCUGAAAUAGAAAGGGGAAGAGCGGAGAUCAAAAGACACAAACCAGCAAAAUAUCCUGACAUGGAGAAGGUUGUUUAUGAGUGGUUUCUACAGCAUCAAGAACGUGUGAAUAUCACAGGAGAAUUAAUUUUGCAGAAGGCAAGAGAUACAAUGAAACUCUUGUACCCUCAUGAUGAUUCAGAUUUUAACUUCUCUACAGGAUGGCUUGGGAAAUUCAAGCACCGACAUGGCAUAAAGUUAUUUCGUCGUUUUGGCGAGAGUGGGUCUGUUGAUGUACAAGACAUGGAGCAGAAAUUGGUAUCGAUUUGAGAGAAAAUUGAUCAGUUCCCUAUGAAAGAUGCUUUCAAUAUGGAUGAAACUGGGUUGUUUUAUAGGCUACAAGCUGAUCAUUCACUGGCAACAAAACAACUUGAAGGAAGAAAACAAGAUAAAGAAAGGUUGACGGUAGUUAUUUGUUGCAAUGAAGAUGGCUCUGAAAAAAUCCCUCUAUGGAUUAUUGGGAAAUAUGCAAAGCCUCGUUGCUUCAAGAAUGUCAACAUGAAUAGCUUGGAUUGUCAGUAUCGAGCUAACAAAAAAGCAUGGAUGACUAGUGUGCUUUUUGAUGAAUAUGUUCAUUCAUUUGACCAAAUGAUGCAUGGUAGAAGAGUUCUACUUGUGGUGGAUAAUUGUCCAGCACAUCCAAGAAAUAUUGAAGGGCUAAGAAACGUUGAGUUGUUCUUCUUGCCACCCAACAUGACAUCAAAGAUUCAACCUUGCGAUGCUGGGAUAAUAAGAGCUUUCAAGAUGCAUUACCGUAGAAGGUUUUACCGCAAAAUAUUGGAAGGUUAUGAGGUGGGACAAUCUGAUCCAGGGAAGAUAAAUGUCCUUGAUGCUAUCAAUUUGGCAAUCCCAGCUUGGACGAUAGAUGUUCGAAAAGAAACAAUAGCGAAUUGCUUCCGACACUGUAAAAUUCAUUCAGCUAGUGAUGUUGUAGGAAAUUUGGAUGAAUCCACUUUUGAUGAAGAAACUCAAGACCUCCAGACUAUGAUCAAUCAAUGUGGCUAUCGUAAUAAGAUGGAUAUCGACAAUCUAAUGAACUACCCAGGUGAAAAUGAAGCAUGUUCGGAGGUUCAGAGUUUAGAAGAUAUUGUGCGUACUAUCAUUGAGAACAAUGCAGAGGAUGACGACGAAGAUGAUACGGUGUCUUUGGAGCCUGUUACGCGAAAGGAAACACUUAUGGCGUCGAACACUCUUCACAACUUUAUGAUACAAUACAAAAAUACAACACCUCAGCUAUUGGAUGCAAUAAGAAAAGUUAGAGAUUGAGCUCCAAACAGACUUGAACUUUAAAGGAAAACAAACAACUAUUGAAUCAUAUUUCAACAAAGUGUAAUAUAUUUUUUUUCAGUUUCUAUGAAUUAUUAAUUUAUGAUUUUCUUGGAACCGAAAAUUAUAAAGGAAUCUCCCAAAAAAUUAUUAUCUUAUUAUUUUAUCGAAUUAUUUAAUUUUUUACACUGGCCCAAGUCGGGACCGGACAAAUUUAUUAUUUUAGAGAGUUUAUUAAUUUACCGAGUAUUAAUUUAAAGAGUUUCUACUGUACUUAACUUCAAUUUUUUAGUGUAACGUUUAAUUUUGGUUUUUAGCAUAGCUAAAAAAAAACUAUGACUUAAUUGAUAUAAUUAUAAGGAUGAAAAAUAUAUUUAACUCUCUCGAAUCUAAAACAUAUCUUACUCUUUUGUAAAAAAAAAUAAAAAUAUCUUACUCUAUUCUUUAUAAAUUGGAAUUAUUUUGAAUAAUACGAAAGAUGUUAUUAUCGGUCCAACGAUAUUUGUUGCAUUAAGAAAGAUGAUAAAUGAAAGAAAGAGAAUAAUGAUUUUAUUCGAUUAACUAUUGAUAUUUUUUUAUUAUCAUAAAUGCAAAGUGGUGAAUAAUAACUUAAGAGUGAUGCAUAUAAUAUUAGUUAAGGAUACAAUUGAAAAAUAAGCAAUUGAAAUUGAUUUGAAAACUAAAAAACAAAUUUUUUGGACAAUUUUUCUUCAAAAUAUGACAAAAAAAUGUAGGAAUGGGGCAUUUUUCUAUGAUAAACAACAAACUCUUGUCUAUCCUUCCCCCCCCCCCCCCCCCAAAAAAAAAAAGAAAAGAAAAAAAAAAGACUAGUGUAUAUGUGGUCUUGAAAAGGAAUCCCUCAUCUUAAGUUCAAUGGACUGGAAAGUCGUGGAAAGUCGUGUAUAUGUGGUCAGAAGUAUAUGUUAAAUGGGAACCAUUUUCUACACGGGUCUAUCAUAUUACAGUUACUUAAUAAGUUAAGAGUUUCAUAACCAGCUAUAUAUACAUAACCGUUUGUUUCAAGAAGCCAUAAAAAGAAAAAAUAAGUUAGAUUAUUAGUGAUGGAAAGGAAGUGUAAGGUGUGUGUCACUGGUGGUGCUGGUUAUAUUGGCUCUCUCUUAGUCAAAAAGCUUUUAGAAAAGGGAUACACCGUUCAUGCUACUCUUAGAAACUUGAGUAUUAAUCCAUUCUCUUUCUCUCUCUCACGCUCCUCAUCUUUUUCUUUCUUAAAAUUAUAUGAAUUUAUUAAUUUGAGGGGUUGGAACAGUGGACCAAUCAUGUUUGAAUCCCUCUAUCGAUGCAUGUAGCACAUUGUAACAGUUGCAAAACCGUUUUAAAUUGGUUAAUUAAAUUUGAACUGUUUUGCAGUUGUUGUUAUGUGCGAGAUUAUUAGAGAUGUAAUAAGUGACGGAACAACUAAUUAACCGUGAACAUUCAUUUAUUUAUUUCAGAGGACGAAUCCAAAGUAGGGUUCCUUAAAGGCUUUCCACAUGCAAAUACUAGAUUGGUGCUAUUUGAAGCUGACAUAUACAAACCAGAUGGUUUUUGGCCUGCAAUUCAAGGCUGUGAAUUUGUCUUCCAUGUUGCUACUCCCUUUCUACACCAAACUGAUUCCCAGGUUCAUUUCCCCAAUAUUAAUUAUUAAUCUUUUGUUUCCUUUUAAUAUUUAACCAAUUUUUAGUUUUUUAGGUAUGGUAGCUUACUAGCUUUAGUCCAUUUCUGACAAGUGACACUUUAGAUAUACGAAUUAGUUUCUCAAAUUGUAGGAUUGGAUAAUUUUGUCUCAUUGAAUUUAAUUUUUUUUAUCACAUUUAUUUUCUAGACAAUGACAAAUUUAAAUUGACUGAUUCAAAAGGCUAAUGUGAUCAAUUUUUCCAAUUUUGUUGGUUAUGUAGAAAUUUUAUAGAUGUUGCAUGACUAAAGUGUAUAUGUAACAUCCCGUUUUUUCAACUUAAUUUUUUUUGCAUAAAAUUAGAGUAAUCAACUAAACAGGAUGUCACACUACAUUAAAAUAUAAAUAGAGUAAAAUUACUAUUUAUUCAAAACACUUCAUGUCAUCAAUUCAAAUCUCAUUGCAGCGGAAAACAUUAAUUGAACAACGUAAUAACACAACGACCUCAACAUAAACAACUCAUUAAAAUCCCAUUCUAGGUGGUUCAUCAACAUAAAAUCAUAGGAAUACGUAACACAUGGAAAACAAGCAAGAUCCACAUCCCGUUACGUAUCAGAGCAACCCUAAGACGACGCGUGAGAGAGUCAACUCACUUCAACAGCUAUUCCUGGUUAUCUGCACGUUACCCACGUAGAGGCAACAUUCAAACAGAAUGGGUGAGAUUUCACAUUCAAUAAUAAUAAGCAUAUAAUUCAUCAAAAGAAUUUAACAACAUAGACAACAUCAAUUAAUAAUAUUAAUUCUUCAUAUUGUUCUUCAUUAACAACUCAUUGAUAAUUGACAAUUUAACAACAACGACAUCAACUCGACAAUGCAACAACAACGACAUUAUCUCGACAAUGCAACUACAACAACUUAAUCAUGCAUGUGGUAUCAACCAGGGCAUCAAGCCCCCAACAUAUAUAGCAUAAAUAUACUCACAGAGCAUCAAAUCCCCAACUUAUAGAGCAAAUAGGCUCACAGGGCAUAAAGUCCUCAACUUAUAGAGCAAAUAGGCUCACAGGGCAUCAAGCCCUCAACUUUAAUGAGUAUGCAUGGACUCAACAACAAACAACUUACACCGCAUUGACAACUUAGACGACUUCAACAACUUAAUACAACAAACUUGCAACUUGGUGAUAUUUAUCAAUCAACAACAGCAUUGACAGCAACAACAACAACUUGCAACAUAACAACAUCAACAACAACAACUUGAAUGAUAUGAACAACAAUAUUUCUAUAUCAUACAAUAUUCACAUAAUAUAUGUAUCUCAAAUUAUCCAACAACAACAUUCAUAUUAAUUCAGACUUCACUGAACAACAAUAUAAUUAUAAACAACUUUCAUUCCUACCCCAAAGACCAACUCAGAAUGUUACGUGCGACAGAGAUCGCAAGAACCCUAAACAAGGUUGACUGCCACUGAGUAACUCGCAAGGCGAGCCACUCUACUCGCUAUGGCGAGUUCAGGAAAAACGGUACUCGCUAUGGCGAACAAGCUACUCGCCGUGGCGAGCUAAAAAUGAUGGCUCUCGGGAGUUUUGACAUUUUUCACUCAAAAAUCUCAUUUUUAACUUCCCUAUGCCCAAAUUUGAUCCAAAAACUUACCUAAUCAUUUCUAAACAUGUUAAGACACUCAAAACCAUCUAAAACUUGACCUCAAAAAUUAAUUUAUAAAAUCAUAUUUUUUUCACUGGGUAACUCGUUAUAGCGAGCGACAACUGGGUUUACUCGCGAGACGAAAGAGGUUACUCGCAAUGGCGAGCGGUGAAGAUGAUCACUCGCGAGGCGAGAACAGUUACUUGCUAUGGCGAGCGAUGAAUGUCAGUUCUACGGGCAGAAUGCAGUUUUGAACAAAACUCACCUAAUUCCAUAACUCUAACUUUAAAACUGAUUCUAAUCAUUGUUCUAUGAAUAACCUAAGGUUUGGACACUAUCUCUACAUCAAUUCAACAUAUUUCUACUCUUAAAUCAACCAAUUACAACUUCUAAACCUAAUUCUCAAAUUCCAAAAACUACAACCUACAACUUGUUAAAUUCGAUUUUCAGAAUUAUACCACUUAAAAUUAGAGAAAGUUAGUCCCACCCUUACCUUAGAUUCAUCGAUUGAAAGGUUCUCUUCUCUGGUUCUCCUCUUCUCUUAGUUUUCUCCCUUUUUCUCCAAAAAUAGGUUUCACGUGAAAAACUAUCUGACCCUAGUUUUUCCUAUUUAUUUCCUCAACCUACUUUAUCUUAUUUCCACUUAAUCCACUAAACUCUUCUAAAUUCCAAAACAGCCCCUCAACUUAUCAUUAUUUUAUUUUCAAAUCUUAUUCUAUUAAAUAAUAAAAUAAAGUCACUUAAUAAAACAACAACACACCACAUAACCACUUAAAUCACAUAAAUCAUAUAAAUAGACUAUAAACCCAAUAAAAUAAUUAAAUAAUUAAAUAGGACGUUACAGUACAACACUAAUAAUUUGAAGGAAAGAGACAGUUACAUAAUCUAGUUUUGAAUUAUAUUGUUCAAAAUAAAUAAACAGGCAAUUUAGUAUCUUAACUGAUUUAAGACCAGAGAUUAAAAGAGUUUAUAAGUCAAGGUACAAAGUUCAAGCAUCCACAAAGAAAAUAUAAUACUAACAUAAUAAUUAACAUGUUAUCAUUUACGCAUAAAAAAAAUAAAAAUUAGUAAUUAAUUAAUUGUAAAAUUGUUAAUGGAAAGUUAUUUUUUUAAGAUUACCAUAGGGGGAUUUAUUUUGGAGAAUAAAAAGAAUAUAACUAUAUAUCUGUGAGCUUAACUCAAUUAAUAAAGAUAUUAUAUUGUAUAUGUAAAAAUCGUGAUUCAAAUUCCAUAUUAACUAACUUAUUCACCUUAAAAAGUAAAUUUAUAGUCACUGAACUAUUUGAAAAAAGAAAAUAUCGCCUAAAAAAACUCUCAUUUCCUUAUAUUUCCCAAGACAUGAUUCAAACCAUGUUAAUAUCCUAUAUUAUGGAGUAUUAAUUUUUUGUUGGUAGCACAGUUUAAGAGCAUAGAGGAAGCAGCAAUAGCAAGUGUAAAAAGCAUAGUUGAAACUUGUAUUAAAUCAAGAACAGUGAGAAAACUGAUAUACACUGGCACCGUGGUUGCAUCAUCUCCACUAAAGGAUGAUGGGUGUGGAUACAAAGAUUUCAUCGAUGAAACUUGUUGGACUCCUCUCCAGAGUCUUCACCUUCCCCUCACUCCUUUCCAUAAGGUAAAUACAAUAUAUACACACAUCAAUGUACUUUCUCACUAUGACUUUCGGUGUUUCUUUUUUAAAUAACAUAACAUGUAUUAAUUAUUUGGUGUGUAUGAUAGAGUCGUGAUAUAUGUAGUAAUACUUGAACCAAGAAAAUAAACUAGUGAUGUAAAUAAUAUGAUAAACAUAAAGUAUUUGAUCCACACAUAAUAAAAAAACAGACUAAGUUUUUAGCACACUUAGCGAUGACAUGAUAAAAUAUAUAUCAUAAAUGACAAAAUUAUCCUUGUGAAAUCAAUGUAUUUUUUAAAAUUAACUUUUGCUAUUUUAACUUUUUAUAAAUUAACAAAAAUUACUACUCAAGGUAAAGUAGAUGAUUAUGCACGGAAUGAGAGGAAGAAGUUGUGAAAGAGAUCGAAAAAAUAUUGAAAAAUGUUUGGAUUUUAAUAUUCUAAUAUUCAAAUUGUGUUGCUUAACAUAUGGAAUAGAAAUAUUAAUUUUAGUUGCAAAAAAAAAAGUAUAUUAAUUUUAUUAUUAGCCCUGCCUAAAGGAUCACACAAACGUUUUUUAUAGAAUAAGUUUAGGCAGGUUGGAUUUUGUGGCUCAUUAGAGUUUGAACAAAUUUUAAGGUUUAAAGUGUUCUAAAAAUUGUACUUAAUUAUAUAUAAUUCAUCAAAGAGAUCCUCACAUUAUUAGUGAGGGUUGAACUCACGCUCUUGCGGGGUGAACCCACACUCUUGGAGGAUAUGAACUAAUUCAUCAAUCCCAAACUUUUGUCUUUUCAGAAGAGGUGAAAAACCACUUCAUAUUUUUAUCUAUAUCAUUUUUUUUAUGGACUAUAACAUCUUGUAAACACAUCCUAACACUCAUGAAAUAUUGCUUAUACCUUUUAUUCUUUUAAUUAUUCGAAUAAUAAUUAAAAAAAUUAAUUUUACAUUUUGAUUUUUUUGUAAAUUUGCACAAGACUUGUGAUCACCUAAGACUUACUCGCAGUUUAUCAUAUCCCAUUAUCAAAUAGUUAAUUCAAGUAUGAUAAAAUAACUUUAUCAUUUGUGCCCCUUUAUUCUCUACAUCAACCAUGGCCUAGAGUAUAUAUGAAUGGAGAAUUUAUUUUGAAAAGUUUGACAGGCGGUGAUGAAUUAUUUUUUCUUUUUUAAAUUAAGAAAACUAUAAAAUAAUUUUAAAGAUAAAUAAGUGUGAUUAAAAAUUAUAGAAUCAUUUUUUCAUGUUAUUUUAUGAAAUCUAAAAAAUUUAUCAAAUUAUAAACUUAUCCCUCCAAAAUCCUCCGUAGGUACCCUUGUCAAUUAAUUUUGAAUUCUUAUUAUCAAUUUUGAAAAUAUGGAAUAACAGUUAUGAAUUGAGAUUUUAAAGCUAAUAAAAUGGUGCUAUGUCGAUUGUCUAAUAAAGUUGAAGAGAAUGAAAGUUGAUGUAGACUAACAUGUGUACUAAUCCUUGAUAUUAAACUUGAAAUCACACCGAGAUCGAUGAAAUUACAUUGACAUCAUAAUUUUAUUGAAAUAUUGAAUUGCAACUUUAGGCUAAAUCAAUAUUACACACUAUGACUAAGCCAAAUUCACCGUCAAUAUAAAGAUACACAUGUGGUGUUCUUGCUUCAAGUGAAUCUCUAACUCGAUAUAUAACAAAUCAUGGUUAAUUAUUUAUAGGAUUACGCUUAUUCCAAGACAUUGGCAGAGAGAGAAUUAUUAACCAGUAACGGUAAAGAUGAAAAUGGAAAUGGUGGAAUUGAGGUGGUAACUUUGGCUGUGGGCCUAGUGGGAGGAGAUGCUCUUCUCAGUUACUUACCCGCAAGUGUUGCAGUGAUUAUCUCUCAGAUUCAUGACAAUGAAGUCGCAUAUCAGUCUUUGAAGUUCUUAGAAGAUAUAGAUGGAAAAAUUCCACUAGUCCACAUUGAUGAUGUUUGUGAAGCUCAUAUCUUUUGCGCUGAAGAUCCAUCUAUCAAUGGCAGAUUUUUGGUUGCAAACUCAUAUGCAUCAUCAGCAGAGAUAGCAAAUUAUUAUCUUCAAAACUAUCCAGAAUUCAAUUUGAAAGAGAAGUAAGUUCUUACUAUACUUUCUACAUCAACUUAUACAACAUAUAGUAUCGAUUUGUUUUGAAAAUAAAUUUCCUACAAAGUGAAAUCUCUUAUAUCUAUCGAGCUUGAAAUCUUGAUCGUCAAAUUACAUAUUGGACAAUGUCAAGUAGGGGCGGAUUUGGCCUCACAAUAUCAUCAAGACACAAUUUUUUGCAGGUCUGCAUCAAUGGCGGAGCCAGAAGUUAAUUUUUGAAGGGGCAAGUUUUUAGUGUAUAUAUAUUAUUUAUCAAAAUAGUUAUUCAUAAAAAAAUUGUAGGUAUGAUGGUACAUACUAUUGGGUUUUACGUCAGGAAUCCCGACUCAACAUGGGCAAAUCAAGAAUCUAACUCAAGUUCCACACCUGAAUAGGGCGCACCUUUACUAGUGAACUACACCUUACACAUAUGAUUAAUUCACAAAGAUUGAUUUAUAUACUAACAUUUAGCUAAAUAUUAAAAAUAAAAAUAAAAAAAUUGAGUCUGGACUUGUGUAGCACUUGCCAUAUCAGGCCUAGUCCAGAUCCGCCCCUGAUGUCAAGCCGGUGAGUGAGACACUUAGGUGCAACUAAUCUAAAGUUUACAAAUAGUUUAUGGAAAAUAGACACGUGUUAAAAGAUUAUUAUAAACCCAAUGUUUCAAAAGUAGUAAAUUUAAUUAUUAUUUUUAAAAAUUAAUAAUGCAAAAUUUUACUUUUGAAUUCUUUAAAAUGUGUUAAAAAAGGAGAUAUAUUUGCAACAAGCGUAAUUUAUCAUAAACUUUUUUUACGUUGGUCCGCCUAAAAAAGACGGGUAUUUAUAUUUAGACACACUUUUACUCGUUAUACACUCAACCGAGAUCCACAUAGCACACAUGAUGUAAGACUAAUAAUAAGACAGACAUAGUUUAUAUCCAAUCAUGUUUUGCCAUAAAUAGGUGUUAAAAGGAGGUAUGAAAUGAAAAGAUGUUUAUAAGUAUUUUCCUAAACAAAAAACAUUAUGUUGGUCUGAGUUAAAUUUAACUCAGACCUCUUAAGCAAUGUCUUGAGUUCCAACCUUGUAGAUGAAAAGAAGAAGAAAAAAAAAGGUGAUCGAAAUAUAAGACCCUACUAAAGAUGGUUAGAUUGAUUCUGUACUGAAAAUAAUCAUUCACAAUGUUGGUAGAUAUUUUGAACCAAUAAUAUGCUUUUGAAAAAAUAUCUAAAAUCUUACAAUAUUUGACAUCUGAUUUUAGGUAUUUGGAAGAGCCAAACAAAGCAAUCAAAUGGGCAUCAACAAAGCUCACGGACAAAGGGUUUGUCUAUAAAUAUGAUCUCAAGAUGAUACUAGACGAUAGUGUCAAAUGCGGAAGAAGGACGGGCGAUUUUAGUAUGUAAUGAUGGAUGAUCUUGAGUUCGAUUCUCACAAGUUAAAAAUGUAUAUUGGCCAACCUAUAUUUGAUUUCCGAACAAACGAAUAUUAAUAUUACGUUGGCAGGAUGUAGACACUAUGAGAUUAGUCAACCAUCAUCUUAAUAAAAAAAUACAAUUUGUAAUGAUUUUUUUAAGGAUUGUAAUGAUAUCUUAUAAAUUGUGGUUAUACUAAUUAAUGAUGGACUCUUCAUACACUGUGUGGAAUAAUUUAUUAAGAGGUCACUUGGACUCUUCACUCUUCCAUGAUAUUUUUUAUGUGAAAAUUAUCUAGUUGAUCUCAUUUUUGUUCUUGAAAUUGUUUAGUGGAGCAAUUUAGUCCUUAAACUUACAAAAUAACAAAUUAGUCUUUGAAUUUAAUAAGUUAAAUCAAUUUAAUUUGUUCAUCCAUCAAAGUAUAUCUUUUGUAAACAUCAAUCAAAACCAAUAAAAAAAACGUAUAUAUAUAUAUAUAUAUAUAUGACUUGAAUAGUCUUUGACGAGUGUAUGUAUAACUUUAUAGUUGUGUAUAACCUUAUAAUUGUGAUGCUAUUUUUAUAAAUGAUGCUUUUGCAUAUACAGUGAAAUAUAUUUUAGCAUGAUUUUUCUGUGGCAAAAUUAAGUGAAAUAGAUUUGCUUGCUACUAGUUGAAAGUGAAGCCCGAAUUCGAGAUACGAUACGGAUACGAUACUGCACCAAUAUGUUGAUAUAAAAAAAUUUCAAAACUCAAGAUACGAUACGGCUAAGAUACGUUAAUAAAAGAAUUAUUUAAUUAGAUGUACAAUAUAAUUAUAAUCAUUUUUUAAUAUGAAAAUAUAUUAACAUACAAAAGAAACCGAUCAUAGGCUCGUAGUACAUCAACAUAAAUAUAAAUAAUAUUGACGAUUAAGAGAGUGAUAAUUAAUCAAUUACAUACACAAUAUAUCCUAAAAGGAGCAUCAUCAGUGGUAUACUAUAUCCAAAAGAAAUAUUAUUAGUGCUAUACUAUAUCGAUAAAAUAAAAAGCACUAUAUCCAAAAAAGAACACAUCAGUACUCAAGAAUUAAGUUAUUUUAAUUAACAUUAAUUAGGAAGUUUUGGGGAAGAUAUCAGUGCAUGAUAAUUAUCAGAUACUCUCUUGAUAUGUAUCGGGAAGCAUCUGAUAAUUAUUAUUUUUUUAAAAUAAAAUUUAAUCUUCGGAUGCUCUCCUGAUACAUAUCGAGAAGUAUCAGACAAGUAUCGGUGCAGAAUACGUAAAAGAUACGAUACGUCAUCCAUUUUGAAGUAUCGAAGCUUCCCGUGCUCAAUUAUAUUCAGAUGUUAGUGACUUUGUCAAGUACAUUUUUAUAGAUUUUGGAAUUGGAUACAAUGUGAAAUUCACACUGUGUCAAAGAAUCAAAUGUAGUUGAAAAGAAAAGGAAGAGAAACAUAAAAUACUCUCACCAUUUGGAUUAGUGGCCUUGGGGAGACGAGACCCCUCAUGUUUACUGGCAUAUUUAUUAGGUGGACUCCAAACUCCGAAGUAGUGGGUAGAUAAUGCAUUGUUAUUCUUUAUAUAUAAAAAAAUGCUUAGUUAUUGUUAUUGACUACCGUGUGUGGUCAGAAUUGUAUAAAUAAAAAAAUCAUAUGUUAGAUCACGGGCUCCAUUUUGUAUAUAUGGUCUGAAUCAUAUUUUAUAUCAUGGGGUCCAUUUUGUAUAUAUGUACCUAUCAUGUGACUGAAGAGGGAAGAAGUUAGAGUAUCAUCAGUGAUGAUGGAAAGGAGGUGCAAGGUGUGUGUUACAGGUGGUGCUGGUUAUAUUGGUUCUCUCCUUGUCAAGAAGCUUUUGGAAAAGGGCUACACUGUCCAUGCCACUCUUAGAAACUUAAGUAUUCAUUCUCUCCAUAUCUUUUUUCCUUUCUUUCCACUGUCCAUUUUUUUCAGAAAAUUUGGUGAGUUCAUUAAUUCAAGACGCGGGGAUUAAAACGCCUGCGUCGAUGCAUAUAACAUAACAGUUGCAGGACCGUUAUUUUUUUAAUUAAAUUUAAACGGUCCAGCAGUUGUUACAAGCAGCACGAUUAAGAUUUAAGUUUAGAUCAAGCUCUUAAUUAUGCACGAGUUAAAAAUAUUAAUAUUAAAAAAAUCUUAUUAAAGGUGACUUCAUUUAUUGAUUUCAGAGGAUGAGUCCAAAGUAAGCUUUCUGAGAGGCUUUCCUCAUGCAAAUACUAGAUUGGUGCUAUUUGAAGCAGACAUAUACAAACCAGAUGAUUUUGGGACUGCAAUUCAAGGUUGUGAGUUUGUCUUUCAUGUUGCCACUCCUUAUCUACAUCAAACUGAUUCUCAGGUUAAUAUCCAAAUAUUGAUUAUUAGUCUUUUCUUUACGCAUGGCAAUGGGGCGAUGUGGGGACGGGUUUUGCCUUCCCCAUCCCCAUCCCCUACUCUCAUAUACUUACCCCUUACCCUAUCCAUAGCUAACGGGGAUGAGAAAUUGAAUCUCAUCCCCAUCCCCAAUGGGUUAUGGUAUUCCCGCUCCAUCCCCGUUCUGCAGUGAAUCAAUUUUUUGAUAAUUGAUAAAAAAAGAGUUUUUUUAAACUUCAAAGGUAAUAUUGUAAUGCAUUAUCCAACAAUUUGCGUUCAUUUUAACAUUUAUUUACCGAAUAAUUCAGUUUCUCCUUUAACUAUCAAUAAAAGUUUGUAUAUCAUGACAAUUAUCAAACCAAAUAACAUAGCAUAUCAUUAUCAACCCCCUCAACAAAAACAAAAAUAUGACAUUUCUACAUUCGGGUAGGGUUUGGAUAUGGGUUCGGGGUGGGUACAUAUAUCUCCGUUACCCGUCCCGUACCCGUAUUUUGAAAUCGGUAAAAACCCAAAUCCAUACCCGAUCAAAUUGAGGAAAAUCCGUCAAAUUGAGGUUGGCUUGGACGGGUAUUCAUGGGCACGAGUUUUUUUUCCAUGCCUACUUUUCCUUCCUUUUGGUUAUGUACUUGAAAUAUUUAGCCAAUUUUAUGGCUGCUUAAUUAACUUCUUCUAAUUGACACUUUAGAUAAAAGAAUCAUCAAUUUUGCUACUGAAAUUGUAGUAAUUGAUAUUUUUCUCUCUACAAUCAAUGAACUUUUGAAAUAAUCAUGAAUUUGAAAAUUUCUGUUACAUUAAUUAUAUGAAGACAAUUACAAAUUUAAAUUGACUAAUUCAAAAGAGCUAAUAUAUGUGGUCAAACUUUUCUAAUUUUGUACAUUAUUUAUAAAUUUCGUUGAUGUUGGUAGCACAGUUUAGGAGCAUAGAGGAAGCAGCAAUAGCCGGCGUAAAAAGCAUAGCUGCGACUUGUAUUAAAUCAAGAACGGUGAGACGACUAAUAUACACUGGCACCGUGGUUGCAGCUUCUCCACUGAAGGACGAUGGGAGUGGAUACAAAGACUUCAUUGAUGAAACUUGUUGGACUCCUCUCCAGAGUCUCCACCUUCCUCUAACUGAUUUCCAUAAGGUAAAUAUAGAGAGAAGGGAGGGUCAAGUUAAACACUUAUAUCAAUAAUAUUACACCAUUCAAUAUUGUUUUACUAGUGUAUAUUUUUUAAAUUUGGUAGAACUGUUACUUUAUAUCAUAUAUGAUAUAGAUCAUUUGCCUAAAACUUUACAUAAAGCUAAAAUCAUUUUAUAUAUUAUUGAGGCAUAUCAAAAUUGACGAUAUUCAAUAAAAGUGCAUAAACCCUUAAUUAUGAUAGGUCUCACCAGGGGCGGACCUGGACUAGGCUCGGUAUGGCAAGUGCCACACCAGUCCAAGCACAAUUAUUAUUAUUUUUUUAAUUUUUAGCUAAAUGUUACAUUAUAUAAAUCAAUCUAUAAAUUAAUCACAUGCGUAUGGUCUACUCUAGUGGUAAUGGUGCUCCCUAUUCAAAUAGGGAAUUUGGAUUCGAUUAUUGUUUUGCCCAUUUUAACUUUUCAACUAUAUUAUUUUAACUAAAAGUACCAUAAAAAAAUGCACAAUGCAUGUGUUGAACUGGAGUACCCGACAUAAAAUACAAUAGUAUGUAUGUACCACUAUAUAUACAAUUUUUUUUAUGAAUAACUAUUGUGAGAAAUAAUAUAUACACACUAAAGAAAUUGUCCCCUCAAAAAAUUACUCCUGGUUCUGCCAUUGGUGCAGACUUGCAAAAAAUUGCACCUCACUAAUUUUGUGAGGCCAAGUCUACCCUUAGGUCUCACUAACAUAUCAAAUGAUUUUAGAUUCACAUAAAUUCUUUUAUGAAUGAUCUACAUUACAUAAACUAACAAUUCAACCGUCAAAUUUAAAAAAUACUUACAGAGUAAAACGAUAUCAAAAAAUGUAACAUUAGACUAACUAUUUUUUUACAAAUUAAAUCUUACAAAAUAUGAUAGUAUUUUUUUUAUUUUUUUUGUAAAAUAGCCUAGCGGUUUGAGAAAUUCACCUUAAAGUUGAAUAUGGGAUAUCCGGGGUUCGAACCCCGACUCUGCAUAUAUUAUGCAUCAUCCCUUAUCAAGUGAGCUACUCUCACGGUGUAACGUCCUGAUAUUUAUAUUAUUAUUAUUAUUAUUAUUAUUUAUAAAUAUGUGUUUUGUGAUAAAUUUGUUAAAUGUAGUUAUAGGACAUGAACAUAUUUUUCUUUUGAUAUCUAAAUCUAAUUUGUUUUAAUUGGAUUCAAUAUCUUAUUAUAUUUUUGGAUAAUCGUGCUUUUAAUUUUAGUAGAGAGUAUCUCAACAAAUACUUUGAGUAUUUUAGUUCUAAAUAAUUUAAUCCUUUUGAUCCAACAAUAUUUUGUUUGAUUUUGUCUUGAAAGUGAGAUAUCAACUAUUUUAUUAAUGGUAUGUUCUUGUCAUUCUAUUUGUCUCAAGAUGGGUUAGUGGGAAUGUUCUAAAAUCAAGGGUCUAAUGAGAUUGUAGACUUAUGAUUUAGUUGGAAUUGUUGUCCAACGGAUAAACAAGAAAACAUAAAUUUUCGAGUAGUAACGGUACCAAUUUUAAAAUAGAAUUAUGAUACAGUUAAUUGGGUAUGGAUAAUUUAACAUAUACAUAAAAACAUUUAUUUCUCAAAGAGACUUUUAGGGCUGAGUAGAGGACCCGAACCCGCCCCAAACCGAUAAAACCGAUUCUGAAUUUUGGCUAUCAACAGGUUGGAAUGGGUUGAAUGGGUUCACAGGUGAAACAGUGCAGUUUCAGAUGGGUUGAUGUGGUCGGGGUCGGUUUUGCCCAAACCAAAACCGGUAUAACCAAACCCGACCGAACAUAUGCUGAGAAAUAAUGCAGUAGCUAUAAAGCCCAAAAGUGAACAAGCCCAAACAAUUAACCAAUCCAAUACCCUUCAUAUAAAUAUAAGUUUUCUACUUCUAUCCUAAACCGUGACCCGUCGAAAACGAGACCCGCCCAAAUCGAAUGUAAUUAUGGGCGGAAUUGGGCCUUGAAAUAAGUUGAUCAGUUUCAUUCAUCUUAGCCAGUUCAGCCCCGACCCCGACCGAUGCUCUACCCUAGAGACUUGGACCUUACAUUAGUUAAACCCGAUAAAAUAUGAGAUUGUAGAAUAUUCUCACCAACCCAUCUUGAGACAAAUAGAAUGACAAGAACAUACCACUAAUAGAAUAGUUGCUUGAUUAGGUGUGUACUCUUAAUUAAAAGUUGAUAUCUCACUUUCAAGAUUAAAUUAUUUAAAACUAAAAUACUCAAAGUAUUUGUUGAGAUACUCUCUACCAAAAUUAAAAGCACGAUUAUCCAAAAAUAUAAUAAGAUAUUGAAUCCAAUUAAAACAAAUUAGAUUUAGAUAUCAAAAGUAAAAUAUUUUCAUGUCCUAUAAGUAUAACUACAUUUAACAAAUUUAUCACAAAACACACAUUUAUAAAUAAAGCAAUAAUAAUAAUAAUAAUAUAAAUAUCGGGACGUUACUCCGUCAAAAAAAAAAAAAUAUCGGGACGUUAAACACGGGACUGUGAUAGUGUAAAUUAUUGUUAAACAUUGUUGCUUCUUAAUAACUAAACACAACAAAAUUUAAAUUGUACUUAACUAACAUAUUUCUACGAUUUUUUCACAAGUUAUGAUUAAUUUUUUUUUAGGGGUACGUUGCUUCCAAGACAUUAGCAGAAAGAGAAUUAUUAAGGAGCUAUGGUAAUGAUGAAAAUGGAAGUGGUGGAUUUGAGGUGGUAAGCCUGGUUGUUGGCGUUGUGGGAGGGGAGACUCCUCUCAGUUACUUACCAGGAAGUGUUGCAGUGAUUACCUCUCAGCUACAAGACAAUGAAGCCUUAUACCAAUCUUUGAAGUUCUUAGAAGAUAUAUGUGGAAAAAUUCCAAUUGUCCACAUUGAUGAUGUUUGUGAAGCCCAUAUCUUUUGCGCUGAGCUUCCAUCUAUCAAUGGCAGAUUCUU